CCUACGGGAGGCAGCAGUGAGGAAUAUUGGUCAAUGGGCGCAAGCCUGAACCAGCCAAGUAGCGUGAAGGAUGACUGCCCUACGGGUUGUAAACUUCUUUUAUAAAGGAAUAAAGUGAGCCACGUGUGCCUUUUUGUAUGUACUUUAUGAAUAAGGAUCGGCUAACUCCGUGCCCGCAGCCGCGGUAAUACGGAGGAUUCGAGCGUUAUCCGGAUUUAUUGGGUUUAAAGGGAGCGUAGAUGGGUUGUUAAGUCAGUUGUGAAAGUUUGCGGCUCAACCCUAAAAUUGCAGUUGAAACUGGCAGCCUUGAGUGCAGUUGAGGUAGGUGGAAUGCGUGGUGUAGCGGUGAAAUGCUUAGAUAUCACGAAGAACUCCGAUUGCGAAGGCAGCCUACUAAACUGCCACUGACAUUGAUGCUCGAAAGUGUGGGUAUCAAACAGGAUUAGAUACCCCAGUAGUC
rnacentral:rRNA from 1 species